rnacentral:rRNA from 1 species
UACGUAGGGACCAAGCGUUGUUCGGAUUUACUGGGCGUGAAGGGCGCGUAGGCGGCGUGGUAAGUCACUUGUGAAAUCUCUGAGCUUAACUCAGAACGGCCAAGUGAUACUGCUGUGCUAGAGUGCAGAAGGGGCAAUCGGAAUUCUUGGUGUAGCGGUGAAAUGCGUAGAUAUCAAGAGGAACACCUGAGGUGAAGACGGGUUGCUGGGCUGACACUGACGCUGAGGCGCGAAAGCCAGGGGAGCAAACGGG